GACGAACGCUGGCGGCGUGCUUAACACAUGCAAGUCGAACGGAAAGGCCCUGCUUUUGUGGGGUGCUCGAGUGGCGAACGGGUGAGUAACACGAGAGUAACCUGCCCUUGACUUUGGGAUAACUUCAGGAAACUGGGGCUAAUACCGGAUAGGAGCUCCUGCUGCAUGGUGGGGGUUGGAAAGUUUCGGCGGGUGGGGAUGGACGCGCGGCUUAUCAGCUUGUUGGUGGGGUAGUGGCUUACCAAGGCUUUGACGGGUAGCCGGCCUGGGAGGGUGACCGGCCACAUUGGGACUGAGAUACGGCCCAGACUCCUACGGGAGGCAGCAGUGGGGAAUAUUGCACAGUGGGCGGAAGCCUGAUGCAGCAACGCCGCGUGCGGGAUGACGGCCUUCGGGUUGUAAACCGCUUUCGCCUGUGACGAAGCGUGAGUGACGGUAAUGGGUAAAGAAGCACCGGCUAACUACGUG
rnacentral:rRNA from 1 species